rnacentral:lncRNA from 1 species
UUUAUAUAUAUAUAUAUAUAUAUAUAUAUAUAUUACAUACAAUCAUACACUACUGUAUAAAAAUAUCUCUCAAAUGUGCAAAGCAUGUCAUUCUUUUUUUUUAAUGGGUGGGGGAUUGUAAAAUCUUUUUAGAAACCAGAUGAAACAAUCUUACUAACCAAGAUCUGUUCUGUGUACUGGUGUGUAAAGCACUCAACCCUCAGUUACUGUUACAAAGUGACAAUGUUACAAACAAAAACACGGGUUACUCUACAUUUUAUAUUUAAAUAUAUGAAUAAGAAAAGAUGUAUCAAUCCAACCAGGCGGGGCUCUUUGUCGUUGACGUCACGUAAAAAUACAAAAAAACUUGCUAUCGAUAUGUCACAACCAAAUAAGGUGCGUUCUUUUCUUUUUAUUGAUGUAUACUUAAUGUAGAAUGUGUGAGGAGUGUAAUACUGUAACAUCCUCUCAAUGUCAUUAUUUAGCAGAAACUUGACACUACUGUGCUCUAUCCAAGAGACCAAAACAUGUCGCCUGCAACUGGUAUCCACACCAUGUUGAGACGUCUUCAUCCUCUUUGUAUUUGUAGCCAAAGCCCCCCCCCUCCCUCUUCUUCCUCACUCCCUCCCAUCUGUCUUGAGUUGUUGUGAUCCAUGACAAUGGAUGAAGAAAAGCAUUGGUAAAAAAUUCUCAUGACUCAGAACCCUUAGUUCACACUUCUAACUAGGUAAAUUAAGGGAGUAGAAUAUUAAUGGCAAGUUAAUAUGGAGAAAGAUAUAUAUUUAUUUUAGUUUAGAAUUCUCCAAGUUUUUUUUUUUUUUUCUUGUUUUAAAUUAAUUUGCAUGUUCAUUUUUGCGUUUUGAUCAACAACAACAAAAAAUCAGUUUCUCUUUUUCAGUCUGGACAUUUCUAUCUUUUAUAUGCCUUUUAAUGAAAAGUUGUGUUGACAAAGCAGUUUAAAGAUGUUUUCUCCUGCUCUUCCAUCUGGGUAGAUGAGAUCUACCUAGCUGGUUGAAACAGUAAUGUUUGAUAUACUGUACUGUUAACUGUCACAGACGUGGGUUUUUUUCUAACAUUUUAACAUUUAAGGUUACCAAUACUUUGUACAUCUAUUGCAAUAAAUAAAUGAAAUGAAUCAAUCAUUA